AGGACAAACGCUGGCGGGGUGCGUGAGACAUGCAAGUCGAACGAGGUUUCAUGGGGCUUGCUCUGUGAAACCUAGUGGCGGACGGCUGAGUAACGCGUAGGUGACCUGCCCGGAAGUGGGGAAUAACUGCCCGAAAGGGUGGCUAAUACCGCAUGUGGUCGUCGAAUCAGUUCGCCGACUAAAGGAGUAAUCCGCUUCCGGAGGGGCCUGCGUCCGAUUAGCUAGUUGGUGAGGUAACGGCCCACCAAGGCGACGAUCGGUAGCUGGUCUGAGAGGAUGAUCAGCCAGACUGGGACUGAGAACGGCCCAGACUCCUACGGGAGGCAGCAGUCGGGAAUUUUGCCCAAUGGACGAAAGUCUGAGGCAGCAACUCCGCGUGAGGGAUGACGGCCUUCGGGUUGUAACCUCUUUCAUCAGGGAAGAUAAUGACGGUACCUGAUGAAUAAGUCACGGCUAACUACGUGCCAGCAGCCGC
rnacentral:rRNA from 1 species